GACGUAGGGCGCGAGCGUUGUCCGGAUUUAUUGGGCGUAAAGAGCUCGUAGGCGGUUUGUCGCGUCGAAUGUGAAAACUCGGGGCUCAACUCCGAGCUUGCAUUCGAUACGGGCAGGCUAGAGUUCGGUAGGGGAGACUGGAAUUCCUGGUGUAGCGGUGAAAUGCGCAGAUAUCAGGAGGAACACCGGUGGCGAAGGCGGGUCUCUGGACAGUUCCUGACGCUGAGGCACGAAGGUCAGGGGAGCAAACGGG
rnacentral:rRNA from 1 species